GAUGAACGCUGGCGGCGUGCUUAACACAUGCAAGUCGAACGGGAAUUACUUUAUUGAAACUUCGGUCGAUUUAAUUUAAUUCUAGUGGCGGACGGGUGAGUAACGCGUGGGUAACCUGCCUUAUACAGGGGGAUAACAGUCAGAAAUGACUGCUAAUACCGCAUAAGCGCACAGAGCUGCAUGGCUCAGUGUGAAAAACUCCGGUGGUAUAAGAUGGACCCGCGUUGGAUUAGCUGGUUGGUGAGGUAACGGCCCACCAAGGCGACGAUCCAUAGCCGGCCUGAGAGGGUGAACGGCCACAUUGGGACUGAGACACGGCCCAGACUCCUACGGGAGGCAGCAGUGGGGAAUAUUGCACAAUGGGGGAAACCCUGAUGCAGCGACGCCGCGUGAAGGAAGAAGUAUCUCGGUAUGUAAACUUCUAUCAGCAGGGAAGAGAUUGACGGUACCUGACUAAGAAGCCCCGGCUAACUUCGUGCCAGCAGCCGCCGUAA
rnacentral:rRNA from 1 species